rnacentral:tRNA from 1 species
GCCGGUGUGGUGGAAUGGUAGACACGCUGUCUUCAGAUGGCAGUGGGAGCAAUCUCGUGGAGGUUCAAAUCCUCUCAUCGGCA